GUCAAAGCCAGAAAGUACAGGUUAGUGUCAACAAAAAUUCCUUUCACUUCAUCUGCAUCCUUUUCUGAAAAUCCAAACUGCUGGAGGGAGUACACAGCAUCCUGCAUGUGGAUCCAAAAUCGGAGUUUUCCAAGAGAUAUUUUGUCAUAUGACACUGUAAGAGGUAGCUCUGUCGUUGAGCGAUUUAUGACCAUCAAAUCUUUCACUCUGUUGCUUAGCUGAUCAAUAAAUAAUAUUGGAAGGUAAUGCACUGUCUUCCC
rnacentral:lncRNA from 1 species